UACGUAUGGGGCAAGCGUUAUCCGGAUUUACUGGGUGUAAAGGGAGCGCAGGCGGCCUGGCAAGCCUGAUGUGAAAUACCGGGGCCCAACCCCGGGGCUGCAUUGGGAACUGCCAGGCUGGAGUGCCGGAGAGGCAGGCGGAAUUCCUAGUGUAGCGGUGAAAUGCGUAGAUAUUAGGAGGAACACCAGUGGCGAAGGCGGCUUACUGGACUGUAAAUGACGCUGAGGCUCGAAAGCGUGGGGAGCAAACAGG
rnacentral:rRNA from 1 species